rnacentral:snoRNA from 1 species
CCCAGCAGCAGUCAGCUGUGCAGGUCUGUGCCAUGCCUGCCUCAGUGUUACUCUGCUGGUAGAGGAAGGUGUCGCCACUAGGCCUGGCCUCUAGGAGGCGCUGUUCUAGUGUCUCCUGACGGCCAGCCAUGGUGGAACCAUGCCCCCCUGAGAGUGGGCAGUCCCCCCCACACAUGUGGGAUGGCCCUAGUCUGGGGGCUCACAGC